rnacentral:lncRNA from 1 species
UAACGAAACUUUACAGUUUCAACAGCCGAUUAUGACUCCAAAAGAAAAAUUGUGGAUGUAUUUCAUUAGUGCGAAAUUCUUCCCUACUUAGCACGUUACGAAAGUUACUUGUGAUCGUGCUUUCUCUUGAAUUCUAUUUUACAGCUGUAAUAGGCCAAUUUUGGCCUGGGCUCAAAUCACAAUCACAAAACUAAACCUAAAACCAAAAUAAAAAUAAUUAAAUAAUCCAAAGUCCAAAUGUCCAUUUACAAACAGUCCAAACCCAAAAUAAAAAAAAACCUAGCCCAAAAACUUAAACAAUGUCAAAAAAACCCUAGCCCCCUAACAGCAUCCAGUGCCGCACACUACCGCUGCCUCCUCCACGUCAGCGCCUCUGUACCGCCACGUUGAC